rnacentral:rRNA from 1 species
AUUGAACGCUGGCGGCAUGCUUUACACAUGCAAGUCGAACGGCAGCGCGGGCUUCGGCCUGGCGGCGAGUGGCGAACGGGUGAGUAAUGCAUCGGAACGUGCCCAGUAGUGGGGGAUAGCCCGGCGAAAGCCGGAUUAAUACCGCAUACGACCUGAGGGUGAAAGCGGGGGACCGAAAGGCCUCGCGCUAUUGGAGCGGCCGAUGUCGGAUUAGCUAGUUGGUGGGGUAAAGGCUUACCAAGGCGACGAUCCGUAGCUGGUCUGAGAGGACGACCAGCCACACUGGGGCUGCGACACGGCCCAGACUCCUACGGGAGGCAGCAGUGGGGAAUUUUGGACAAUGGGGGCAACCCUGCUCCAGCCAUGCCGCGUGCGGGAAGAAGGCCUUCGGGUGGUAAACCGCUUUUGUUCGGGAAGAAAUCCUCUGGGCUAAUACCCCGGGGGGAUGACGGUACCGGAAGAAUAAGCACCGGCUAACUACGU